UCUGAAUACCCAGCAUGUGGACCCACAGUAGAGACUCUAAAAAUCUUUCUUGACCAAGAUUCUGACGAGGCAAUGGCAAGAAAGGCUGACACUUUGCACAUCCUUCACAAUCUUCUGCAAGGAUGGCUUAGAAUCGUCCUGCGUGGAGGAAGGAACAACCUUUGACCUUAAGACCCCACUAGCACCUUGAUCCUCUACCUUAAAGAUGGAAACGGCUUGGCAGAGGUUGUGUUACUAGGCAAGGUCUUGCUACAAUUGAAAGGAUGCCACCAGAGAUGAAAACCCUACAUACAUCUCUGCCACCAAAAGAAGACUUUGGAAUCAGGCAUGAUGCAACCAAAGAUUCUUACUGCCCUCCAGCCCCAGGGCUGCGGAGUGACCCAGGGAAGGCAAGAUGCAGCACACAGCUAAUAAUCCACAUGUAACCAGCACACCAAAAGCAUCCAGUGAGUGAGUUAAAACCAUGCUUCUAUCUAUCCCCCAGGAGUGGACAGACAAGUCUGCCUAGAUUUGAGGCGGGGAAAAGAGGUCUAAAUUUUCACAAGAAUUAACUUCUUUUUCCUACAAAGAGACAAUGAGGUGUUUCUCCUCUUACCUCAUGG